UACGGGGGGGGGCAAGCGUUGUUCGGAAUUAUUGGGCGUAAAGGCUCGUAGGCGGCCAACUAAGUCGGAUGUGAAAUCCCCAGGCUCAACCUGGGAACUGCAUCCGAUACUGGAUGGCUUGAAUCCGGGAGAGGGAUGCAGAAUUCCAGGUGUAGCGGUGAAAUGCGUAGAUAUCUGGAGGAAUACCGGUGGCGAAGGCGGCAUCCUGGACCGGCAUUGACGCUGAGGCGCGAAAGCUGAGGGGAGCAAACGGG
rnacentral:rRNA from 1 species